AUCCAGCUGACGAGUCCCAAAUAGGACGAAACGUGCGUCCUGUAU
rfam:Schistosoma mansoni, Puerto Rico, WGS project CABG01000000 data, contig: 0153